rnacentral:tRNA from 1 species
GGGGUCAUAGCUCAAUUGGUAGAGCGCUUGCAUGGCAUGCAAGAGGUCGGCGGUUCGAUUCCGCUUGACUCCACCA